rnacentral:lncRNA from 1 species
CAAGAAUGUAUAUCAAUCACAAAUGCUUUAUGUUAUUCAACAUUGCCUUUUAUUUCACUUAAAGGAUGUAUAUAACAUCAUAGGAUGAAACGGGGAUGUAUGUAAUGUCAUAGGAUGAAACAGGGCUGUUAUCAACAGACAUGUUGAAGGAACUUUAUUAAACUGUUAUUUGAGAUGUUUUUCCAUUUGUGCGUUUCUUUAAAAGUAUUUAUUUGUCAUCAAGUUUAGUAUUUCAUUACCAACUCACCUCCCAUCCCCUCCAGUCUACCCUGCUGGACAUCUCUGCCAAUACAUUUGAAGGUCGAUUCUGGGCAAAAGCGCAAAAAUUAUGUAUUUUAAACAGUAUAACUGAUCAAUGCACCACCAUACAUGGUCAUUUAUUGCUUAAAAUGGUUAAAUAAGAUAUUUGGCUACAGAAGUGCCAUUUCUUUCCGAUCUCCAAAAACAAAUCCUGUGAAAUGAUGUCAACACAUACUGGAGGAGUUACUGGCUAGCUACAGUGGCUAGCUUUGCUAACAAACUAGCUAUAGUGGCUGGCUUAGCAAACAAACUAGCUACAGUGGAUGGCUUAGCUAAUGAACUAGCUCUAGUGGCUAGCUUAGCUAACAAACUAGCUACAGUGGCUAGCUUAGCUAACGAACUAGAUACAGUGGCUAGCUUAGCUAACAAACUAGCUACAGUGGCUGGCUUAGCUAACAAACUAAGUACAGUGGAUGGCUUAGCUAACGAACUAGCUACAGUGGCUAGCUUAGCUAACGAAUUAGCUACAGUGGCUAGCUUAGCUAACGAAUUAGCUACAGUGGCUAUCUUAGCUAACAAACUAGCUACAGUGGCUUUCAUAGCUAAUGAACGAGCUACAGUUGAAGUCGAAGUUUACAUACACUUAGGUUGGAGUCAUUAAAACUUGUUUUUCAACCACUCCACAAAUUUCUUGUUAACAAACUAUAGUUUUGGAAAGUCGGUUAGGACAUCUACUUUGUGCAUGACACAAGUAAUUUUUCCAACAAUUGUUUACAGAGAGAUUAUUUCACUUAUAAUUCCCUGUAUCACAAUUCCAGUGGGUCAGAAGUUUACAUACACUAAGUUGACUGUGCCUUUAAACAGCUUGGAAAAUUCCAGAAAAUGAUGUCAUGGCUUUAGAAGCUUCUGAUAGGCUAAUUGACAUCAUUUGAGUCAAUUGGAGGUGUACCUGUGGAUGUAUUUCAAGGCCUACCUUCAAACUCAGUGUCUCUUUGCUUGACAUCAUGGGAAAAUCAAAAGAAAUCAGCCAAGACCUCAGAAAAAAAAUUCUAGACCUCCACAAGUCUGGUUCAUCCUUGGGAGCAAUUUCCAAACGCCUGAAGGUACCACGUUCAUCUGUACAAACAAUAGUACGCAAGUAUAAACACCAUGGGACCACGCAGCCGUCAUACCGCUCAGGAAGGAGACGCGUUCUGUCUCCUAGAGAUGUACGUACUUUGGUGUGAAAAGUGCAAAUCAAUCCCAGAACAACAGCAAAGGACCUUGUGAAGAUGCUGGAGGAAACAGGUACAAAAGUAUCUAUAUCCACAGUAAAACGAGUACUAUUUCGACAUAACCUGAAAGGCCGCUCAGCAAGGAAGAAGCCACUGCUCCAAAACCGCCAUUAAAAAAGCCAGACAACGGUUUGCAACUGCACAUGGGGACAAAGAUCGUACUUUUUGGAGAAAUGUCCUCUGGUCUGAUGAAACAAAAAUAGAACUGUUUGGCCAUAAUGACCAUCGUUAUGUUUGGUGGAAAAAGGGGGAGGCUUGCAAGCCGAAGAACACCAUCCCAACCGUGAAGCACGGGGGUGGCAGCAUCAUGUUGUGGGGGGUGCUUUGCUGCAGGAGGGACUGGUGCACUUCACAAAAUAGAUGGCAUCACGAGGCUGGAAAAUUAUGUGGAUAUAUUGAAGCAACAUCUCAAGACAUCAGUCAGGAAGUUAAAGCUUGGUCUCAAAUGGGUCUUCCAAAUGGACAAUGACCCCAAGCAUACUUCCAAAGUUGUUGCAAAAUGCCUUAAUGACAACAAAGUCAAGGUAUUGGAGUGUCCAUCACAAAGCCCUGACCUCAAUCCUAUAGAAAAUCUGUGGGCAUAACUGAAAAAGUGUGUGCGUGCAAGGAGGCCUACAAACCUGACUCAGUUACACCAGCUCUGUCAGGAGGAAUGGGCCAAAAUUCACCCAACUUAUUGUGGGAAGCUUGUGGAAGGCUACCCGAAACGUUUGACCCAAGGUAAACAAUUUAAAGGCAAUGCUACCAAAUACUAAUUGAGUGUAUGUAAACUUCCUACUUCAACUGCGCGUUGGUCAUGUGACUAGAAUGACCCUGAUGUAACACCAAAGGCACACCCCAUUUACGUUUGAAAAAUUGGGAAAGAUGCGGAUUUGGACUAUUUUUCGUGUCCAAAGUUGACCUUUAACAGGAAAUCCCCAUCUCUACUGCUACAGGUUAUAAAACAUGAUCAAAUAUCAUCUCCAAUAUUAACAUCUACUUUGUGACAGAAGAGCUCUUCAUUUCUCUGCUGAGUCGACAGUACCGGUAGUUUAGAAGUCUGUAACAGUUCUGUAGAACGUUUAGAGCCCUGACCCUAAACCGGGAUAAACUCUGAGCUCUAGUAAUAACCCACCCAAAAGGUCCUCCCGACUCUAAGGGCUCUAUUCAAUCCGUAUGGCUGAUGUUCAACCAGCUGAUAGAAAUGUAAAGGCAACGUUCCUGUAUUAGCAGAGAUUCACGGUCAGCGCUGCAUAUGUCAGCUCUCCAAUGGGAAAUGACCUUUACAUUUCUAUCACACGGCCUGUAAUGUUUCAGCCAUCCAGAUUGAAUACAGCCCUAAUUCUAGCUGAGUAACCGAACCCUAAGUAAGUUACACUAACCCCCUAACCAGCCUUAAAUGACCCCUAACCAGCCUUAAAUGACCCCUAACCAACCUUAAAUGAUCCCUAACCCCCUAACCAGCCUUAAAUGACCCCUAACCAGCCUUAAAUGACCCCUAACCCCCUAACCAGCCUUAAAUGACCCCUAACCAGCCUUAAAUGACC